ACUCAAAUGAAUUGACGGGGACCCGCACAAGCGGUGGAGCAUGUGGUUUAAUUCGAAGCAACGCGAAGAACCUUACCAAAUCUUGACAUCCCAAUGACCGGCAUUUAAUUUUGCCUUCUCUUCGGAGCAUUGGAGACAGGUGGUGCAUGGUUGUCGUCAGCUCGUGUCGUGAGAUGUUGGGUUAAGUCCCGCAACGAGCGCAACCCUUAUCUUUAGUAGCCAGCAGUUCGGCUGGGCACUCUAGAGAGACUGCCGGGGAUAACCCGGAGGAAGGUGGGGAUGACGUCAAAUCAUCAUGCCCCUUAUGAUUUGGGCUACACACGUGCUACAAUGGCGUAAACAAAGGGAAGCGACCUGGUGACAGUGAGCAAACCCCAAAAAUAACGUCUCAGUUCGGAUUGUAGUCUGCAACUCGACUACAUGAAGCUGGAAUCGCUAGUAAUCGCGAAUCAGAAUGUCGCGGUGAAUACGUUCCCGGGUCUUGUACACACCGCCCGU
rnacentral:rRNA from 1 species